AGUCUCAGUUCUCAGUGAACUCCAGUCUACGUCGUACUACGCUCGCGCCACGCUGUGUUUACAAACGUUCUAAAUACAAACAUUCAAAAUGGCCGUCAGCAGAUUGUCGAUUAUCAAAUUCUUGGAGCUGGCGCUGACAUGCGCGUGCGUCGCUCUGCACUACCAGAGCUACAAUGCUGAUGCCGACAUCGGCAUGCUGGUCACCGGCACCUUCAUCGGCUACCUCAUCAUCUUCGCCGGGGCUGCUGCUGGUUACGUGAUGCAGACUCCCACACACAAACGUAUAGACAUCUUCUACACCCUGGUGGGAGUCGCGCUCUUCGUCGCCAGCGGCGCUGUCAUCAUUGACAGAUAUCAACACGCCGGUAAAGGCCAAACGAGAGAUUACAACCUGGCCAAGGCUUCCCUGGCCAUCAUCAACGGCGCCAUCAUGCUGGUGGACGCCGUGUUGACACAGCGCGGCGGCUAGAUGGCGCUAACACGACUUUACAUUCUACCCACAGCUUGCGUGGUUUAAUACUUUGGUACUUUUAUAAUUUAAUACGAUGUAUGGCCGGUUUCUCAGGGUUAAUGAUAGAAGUUUAACAGAUAAGGUGAUCAAAUAUAUCGCCUU